rnacentral:rRNA from 1 species
UACGUAGGUGGCAAGCGUUGUCCGGAUUUAUUGGGUUUAAAGGGUGCGUAGGCGGCUUUGUAAGUCAGUGGUGAAAUAUGGCAGCUCAACUGUCAGGGUGCCAUUGAUACUGCAGAGCUUGAGUACAGAUGAGGUAGGCGGAAUUGACGGUGCAGCGGUGAAAUGCUUAGAUAUCGUCAAGAACACCGAUAGCGAAGGCAGCUUACUGGGCUGUAACUGACGCUGAGGCACGAAAGUGUGGGGAUCAAACAGG